ensembl:lncRNA novel transcript
GGCGACCACGAAGGGACCUCCAAAGCGCCUCCAUCAGAGAGCUCCAUCCAGACCUAGACUUGGACAAUAGGCAGUUGUUUGCUUGCCUCUGGCUCUGCUCACUCUCCAUGGGGGUCUAUAGCUGGUGAUCAUCUUGUAUACCUAAUUCUGGCUUCAUCUUCAGACUCGGACAGCCAGGAAUCCAGGAAUGUGCAGCAUGGAUGCCCAAGUCUGAGUGGAGGUUGCAUCAGUUUCAAAGACAUUGUGCUCUUCCCUGCCGUGGUGGAGUGGUGAGCCGGUUGACAUCCCGGAAAAGGUUGUUAGGGAGUGGAGGUGGGUGGAAGAACCAGAGUCAGACAGUCUGUUCUUCUCUGAUGGUGUCACAUCUGGAUAGAGUGGCUGGAGCUGCUGCAUCCAGCUUGCUACAAGCACAGGGGAUGGCAGAGCUCAGAGAUGGGAUGACCCUGUGUUCUUGAUGGAAUCAACCAGUCAUGCGGAUCCUGCUAUUUCUGGACUGGCUGUUAGGUGAGAUAAUGAAUUAUUUCCACAAUGCAUGCUUCUUGGAGCACAGGGAGACUCUUACUUGAGGACCUCGUUAUUUCUCACUGGGGCCAUGCUGGCGGCGUUCAAGUCAGGCUGCUCUCAGGCUUCUCCAGAAGUACCUAACAACUCAUGGCCACUCUUCUGACCCUAUCCUUCACAAGUAGGCCUACUUUAUAGGCAAACUGAGCUCCUGAAUCAUUAGGAUGGACGCGCCAUCAACAGAAUCUGCUUUUAGUGGAAUGGGUCUUCGGAUAAUCUGUUUUCAUCACAUCAAGAGCUAAGCCAGUCAGUUAACACAGAGGAAAUAUUAAAGGCAGUAUUUUUUCAUUAAGCAACCAGCAAGCACUUUAUGGAACUUAAGAAAGGAAGACCCCACAAGUGGACGAAGCUGAGUUAUGUUCUGCUCCCCCCACCCAGAUACAUACAACAGGACUGCCUAUCACAUGCCAACCAGUGCAACUGAAGGAGACAGAACAAAUAUGCAGAUGAGUCAUCCAACUUGCAAAGAGGCCAUGGGAGGCACGAUGAGGUCAAGAAAAGAGCAAACUGACUUAGUGAGAGAGACCAAAGUUCCACUGCCAUCUUCCAGCUGUAUGACUUGCAUAUGCCAUUUAAAUGAAGUCUGGGUUUUUUUUAAUCUGAAAAAUUUGCCUUAUCUACCUCAAAAAAAGGGGAUGAAAAUGCAUCUUAAGCAUGAAGUGUUAUGCAAAUCUUGGUUGUGGUUAUUACUAUAAUUUCAUGUAUUGAUUUUAAACAAAAUGUACUUUGAGUUGGAAGGUAAAAAAUAUGAAAGACUCUAAGAAUGGGUAGGCGGGGAACCAAAUGAUCUGUGGCCACACUGAAGGUAGAAAAAAAGGAAGUGAAUUUGAACUAAAGAAGCAGAAGUUGAGAAAGUACCAAAGUCUUUGACUUUCAGAGUGACCGAACACCAGCAUAGUUCACCAGAGAAGAUCAGGAAUGCUGUCUCUUCUGAAAGGGUACCAAAAAGAGAGUAAACAGAUCAUUCUAUAUUGAUCAAGGAGUGGCAAACUGACAUCUGCAGAACAAAUCUGAUCCCCAGAUGAGCUCUAUUUGUUCAACAAAGAUGUUGUCGUUGUUA